rnacentral:misc_RNA from 1 species
UCUCCCGUGAGGGAGCAGUCUCGCCUGGCCAUAUAGGCAACAGGCAACGGGGGUUGCGUUCGUUACCCCACUGAAGGGAACAGUUCAAACCACGAACUGACGACGACCAUGCAUCACCUGUGCUACACCCUCGAAGGCUCCCCUCCUUUCGGAAGGGAUGCAGUAGCAUUUCUAACCUUGAUAAGGUUCUUCGUUUGUCGACGAAUUGAGCCACAUAAUCCACCGCUUGUGCGAGUCCCCGUCUAUUCCUUUGAGUUUUAAUCUUGCGAUCGUACUACCCAGGCGGCUCGCUUACCGCGUUAGCUUAGCCUCACAGAGGGUCGAUACUCCGUAAAGCGAGCGAGCAACGUUGAGGGCCAGGACUA